rnacentral:rRNA from 1 species
GGAGGAAAGUAGGGGAUCGAAAGACCUUAUGCUUUUGGAGCGGCCGAUGUCUGAUUAGCUAGUUGGUGAGGUAAAGGCUUACCAAGGCAACGAUCAGUAGUUGGUCUGAGAGGACGACCAGCCACACUGGGACUGAGACACGGCCCAGACUCCUACGGGAGGCAGCAGUGGGGAAUUUUGGACAAUGGGUGAAAGCCUGAUCCAGCAAUGCCGCGUGAGUGAAGAAGGCCUUCGGGUUGUAAAGCUCUUUCAGUUGAGAAGAAAAGGCUGUGACUAAUAAUCACAGCUCAUGACGGUAUCGACAGAAGAAGCACCGGCUAACUACGUGCCAGCAGCCGCGGUAAUACGUAGGGUGCAAGCGUUAAUCGGAAUUACUGGGCGUAAAGGGUGCGCAGGCGGUUCUGUAAGUCAGAUGUGAAAUCCCCGGGCUUAACCUGGGAACUGCGUUUGAAACUACAAAGCUAG